rnacentral:sRNA from 1 species
AAAAAAAACAGAAAAAAAUCGAGUUGAGCUUCGCAAU